rnacentral:rRNA from 1 species
UACGUAGGGGGCAAGCGUUGUCCGGAUUUAUUGGGCGUAAAGAGCGUGUAGGCGGCCAGGUAGGUCUGCUGUGAAAACUCGAGGCUCAACCUCGAGAUGUCGGCGGAAACCAUCUGGCUAGAGUCCGGAAGAGGAGAGUGGAAUUCCUGGUGUAGCGGUGAAAUGCGCAGAUAUCAGGAAGAACCCCCGUGGCGAAGGCGGCUCUCUGGGACGGUACUGACGCUGAGACGCGAAAGCGUGGGGAGCGAACAGG